AUUUAAUUUUAAUUUAAAAUUAUUAGUGUAUAAAUUAUUUAAAAUAAAGAUAUAGAAGUAUUUUAUUGUUUUAGUAUAAAAUAGGAAUAAAUUUAUUUAAAAUUAUUUAACUGUAAAGGAAUAAUUUAAAUAGUUAAAAGAAUAUUUAAUUUAUAGUACCUUUUGUAUCAGGGAUUAUUAAAAUAAAUAGUAAUAAUUUAUUAAUCUCGAAUUAAAAAGAGUUAAUUUAAUAAUAUAGUUAAUGUGGAAAAAUUAUUAUAAAUAUUAAAUUGGAAAUGAAAUGUUAGUCGAUUUUUAAGAUAUCUAGUUUUUUAAUAGAAAAAUUUAAUUUUUUUGUAAUAUUGUAUAUUAUUAAUUAUUUAAAAUUAAUAAUAUUAUUAUAAAUAAAAAUUUAUGGGAUAAACUAUAAAUUUUAAAUUAAAUAAUAAAAAAUUAUUGUUAAAAAUUUAGAGAUUAAAAUUUUUAUAAUUUAAAAGUUUUUAAUAAUUUAUUAAAAAAAAUUAUGUAAUUUUUAGUUUAUUAAUUAUAUAUUAAAAUAAUUUAAUUAAUUUGUUUAUAAAUAUAAUAAUGAUAAUAUAAGUAUAAAAUUAUGUAAAUAUAACUAUUUAGUAUAAAUUAAUUUAAGGAAUUAGGCAAAUUAUAUUAAAUUCACUUGUUUAACAAAAACAUGUUUUUUUGAAAAUAAUUUAAAAUUUACUCUGCCCAAUGAAAAAUUUAAUGGCCGCAGUAUUUUGACUGUGCAAAGGUAGCAUAAUAAAUAGUCUUUUAAUUGAAGACUGGAAUGAAUGAGGGGAUGAAAUUUAAACUGUCUCAUAUUAAAGAAUAAAAAUUUAUUUUAAGUAAAAAAUCUUAAAUAAUUUUAAGGGACGAGAAGACCCUAUAGAAUUUUAAAUUUUUUUUUAAAUUAAAAAAAUAUUAAUAUAGGUUUAAUUUAAUUAAAAAUUUUUUAUUGGGAGGAUAUUAAAAUUUAAUUAACUUUUAAUUUUAAAUUACAUUAAUUAAUGAAUUUAUGAGUAUUAGUUGUAUAAAAAGAUAAAAUUACCUUAGGGAUAACAGCGUAAUAAAUUUUUAAAGUUCAAAUUGAAAAAUUUGUUUGCGACCUCGAUGUUGAAUUAAAAUAUAAUUUAAGUGAAGUAGCUUAAUAUUUAAGUCUGUUCGACUUUUAAAAUUUUACAUGAUUUG
rnacentral:rRNA from 1 species